rnacentral:rRNA from 1 species
AAGUCUAAGUAUAAGUGAUUCUGAUGACGAAACUGCGAAUGGCUCGGUAAAACAGCAAUAAUUUCUUCGAUGGGUAACCCUACUACACGGAUAACCCGUAGUAAUUCUAGAGCUAAUACGUGCCAUAAAUGCGAGGCUUUCCUCGUGGUGCUAAUUAGAUAACAACACCAACAUAUGGUGAUUCAUAAUUCUCUUUCUGAUCGCUGAGUAAAUCGGCGACGCAUCGUUCAAAUUUCUGACCUAUCAACUUUAGAUGGUAAGGUAGUGUCUUACCAUGGUGGCAACGGGUAACGGACCGUGGGUGCGGGACUCCGGAGAGGGAGCCUGAGAAACGGCUACCACAUCCAAGGAAGGCAGCAGGCGCGCAAAUUACCCAAUCCGGACUCCGGGAGGUAGUGACAAGAAAUAUCAAUAGGGGACCCUAUGGGUCUUCUAAUUGGAAUGAGAACAAGCUAAACAGCUUAUCGAGAAUCCAGCAGAGGGCAAGUCUGGUGCCAGCAGCCGCGGUAAUUCCAGCU